rnacentral:lncRNA from 1 species
UUUGGAUAAGAAGUUAAUUUUACUUUUAUAGUAUGAUUAAAUAUACAACAAUAAUAAUCAAAUACGUAAUUUUUAAACAUUAUUUAAAUUUAUAUUUGAAAUAUCAAAAUUAUUCUCCAUCAAAAUGUAUAUUUGUUCAGAGUAGUAGCAACAACUUCUGUUCUUCGCCUCGUCGGGACAUCAUCUGUUUAUUUGCGUUUCAUUCUCUUUAAUUAAUUAACUCAGAGAUAUGAAACAAGUAUGGUCUGGGGAAUAUGGUCCCAGACAUGAAAGCUUGGAAAAUCAAACGCAAACUUGGCCAGAGUAUGUGCCAACCUGUUACAUUCCCUACCCACCCAAUUCACUGUAAUAUCUGGUCUGCUUAAUUAACACCCUAAUACAAUCAGCAACAAUGAAUCCAUACUCUGAAACAUCUUCAGACUUGGAGUUCACUUUACCUUGAAACAUUUGCUACAAUGAAUUGUAAUGCUGCUCUGCAACCCAAAAGUUCAGCUAGAUAACGUUCCUGACAACCCAAAUUCCCACCAGUAAAAGCCUUGAUCACACUCCCUUAGGCAUCCCGAAAAACUGCUCCAUAUGUUUCCUCCAUUUUCGAACUCCAAAUUGCACUGUCGAAAUUACAUUCACUCACCCGCUUCUGGAGGUAACCACACAGCUGGGUGAGAUGGCUUGGAGCUCUGAUGAUAGAUUUCCCUGGCUUCAAAUAAUUUCCCUUGCUGCCAAUCCGAUAAAAACUUCCGCAUAAGAUAAAUUGUGGUCGAAUCUGCAAAGUACUUACCCGACCGCACCAAAGCGUUCCUCUCCCACCAUAAUCUCCACAAACAACAGAGCACCUGUUGUAGUUGACCAUCUAGACAUUAAAUUUGCUAGCCAGGACAAUAAAUUAAUGUCUGCUGAUAUCUGGACAUUCAUACCCAGCAGUUCCCACCAUCAGUGUGCUUUCCAACAUUCAAAGAAGACACGUUUGAGGGUCUCGGGUUUUUCACAUCUUGGGCAUCGGGAAGCGGCACUCACACCCUUUUCUUGUAGUCGAGUCCGAGUAGGAAGGGUAUUAUUCAACAUUCUCCAGAUAAAAAUUUUCACUUUAGGAGGAAUAUCUGUCGACCACACAUGUUGCCACACCAAUCUGCAAUUCUCCAAUGACCAAUCAAUAUACCUCGAAUAUGAUCAUAGAUUGAUUUUACCGAGUACUGACCAUCCUUUGAGAAAGUCCAAAUCAAUCUAUCCUCCCUCUUGUUAAUACUAAGUGGAAUUCUCAGGAUAUGUUGUGCUUCCUCAUCCACAAAGAUACUUCGUACUAACUCAAGACUCCAACUCUGCAUAUCUGCAGUCAACAUGUAAAAAUUCAGAAUUUUAAAAAAAAUAAAUUUAUAAUUUAAACGUGUAAGCGGAUAAUAAAAUUAUGGUUUAUAUUUCUU